rnacentral:lncRNA from 1 species
GCCAAACUUUGUUAUAAGUUUAUAAUAAAGGAUGAUUUUUAUGAUAUCAUUAUGAAUGAUACUGUAAUUAUGCGUGGACAACUAAAAUAUGGCAUAUACAUAAUAUAAUAGCCUCUUAGUAUAAUGUACACCAUCAGUAAAUGCCAUAAGUUAGAUAAUGUCAGUGAAUCCUACCUUUGGCAUUGUAGGCUUGAUCAUGUAAACAAGAAUAAGAUUGACAGGU